AAUAGAUACCCCGGUAGUCCACGCCGUAAACGAUGAGUGCUAAGUGUUAGAGGGUUUCCGCCCUUUAGUGCUGAAGUUAACGCAUUAAGCACUCCGCCUGGGGGAGUACGGCCGCAAGGCUGAAACUCAAAGGAAUUGACGGGGGCCCGCACAAGCGGUGGAGCAUGUGGUUUAAUUCGAAGCAACGCGAAGAACCUUACCAGGUCUUGACAUCCUCUGAAAACCCUAGAGAUAGGGCUUCUCCUUCGGGAGCAGAGUGACAGGUGGUGCAUGGUUGUCGUCAGCUCGUGUCGUGAGAUGUUGGGUUAAGUCCCGCAACGAGCGCAACCCUUGAUCUUAGUUGCCAUCAUUAAGUUGGGCACUCUAAGGUGACUGCCGGUGACAAACCGGAGGAAGGUGGGGAUGACGUCAAAUCAUCAUGCCCCUUAUGACCUGGGCUACACACGUGCUACAAUGGACGGUACAAAGAGCUGCAAGACCGCGAGGUGGAGCUAAUCUCAUAAAACCGUUCUCAGUUCGGAUUGUAGG
rnacentral:rRNA from 1 species